GAAGGGAAUGGCGCUCCGAAAUGAUGCGCACGGUGGCAGCGGGGCACGGGGGCUCUCCGUCUAACGAUCGGGAAAAUGACGCAGCUCCAGGCCGAUCCCAGAGCCUUCAGCUCCAUUAGUACAUUUGUGCAACUCUUGCGGCGAACGGGAAAACUGCCCCGGCAGGUACUUUAGGGCCGGGCACGAUGUGGAGAUUUAACAAGGAUCCUGAAGCUGGAGGCACACAAUGACUGCCACUGAAGAGGAGCUGCCUGUGCAGCAUCCCCGUGACAUCUGCCUCAUUUCAAUAAUUUCCAGCCAUUGAACCUCUGUCUGAAUGAGCAUUAAGGAAACAGAGGCAUGUUUGGAUACUAAUUUGAGCCUCUCUCGGGUUUGAGUUUUAUGCUGAUGCCUGUGGCUCAGUUGACGGUGUUGACGUCUGCGGCUUUCCGUCCGUGAGACCGGACACCUUCCUGCCGUGUCUAUCAAGGAGACGGAAAGCCCUGGUGUGCGUCCCCCUCUCCCUACUGUGGACGGUUAGCGUCCGUUGAGCGGUGCAGACGCCUCGACCGUGAAAAGCUGAGCGGAGACCGAGAGCCUCGUUUCAUACGAGGCUGGGUAAAGGUCAUCUGAAGUCCUUCCCCGGUGAGCUAAUGCCCUUCGGUUGUGACCACCCGGCAUUUGAAACCGUGACCUACCGCUUUGCCCCACGCAAAGGACGAGGGCUCUGAAACCGACUUGCCGUAAGACAUCAUGGGCCGCUCUAAGUUGUCCAGGAGGACAGGUGUGUGUCCUGCAGCGUGGUCGGUCCAUCCAGAAGAAUCUUGAACGUUCACAUGCCUCGUGACUUACCAAUGUAUAUUCACCGAUGUCAGAGAUCGGCACGUGUGCUCCCUGAGCUUAUUACUGUAACAAGUUUCUCCCAUGCUCCCGGGCAGAUUCUUCGUGUCUCCUCGUCCAGACUACUGACUCAGUUUAAGAUUACAUCCUUUUCUCCUUUGCGUUUAUUGCAUUUGCCCUGUAAAACUCGUUCCCUUCGCCUCAUAGGACACCUAGAGACACCAGGGGCAUUCCAAGACUGGGCAUGAGGUACGUCUGAUGCUGUUCCUUUAACACAACUCUGUCUCUCUCUGAUCUGUGAAACUCCCCAGCAUCCUGUCAGGGUUAUUGGGACCCAGGGAUAGAGGGCAGGAGCCUGCCUACGUAUUAAUUGUCUGGCGUUGGAUGAUUUUUUUUCUCUCAAGCGCAUUCAGGCUGCUACCUCUGCAGUAUGGUUCUCAGUGCCUCACUGCAUCGCUGAGAAAAGAAAUGGUAAAUUAAGUAGAUUUUGAAAUUGCCCAUUGAACUCACAUCAUUAAAUAAUUCUAUAAGAAAUUCAUAAGCAGAGACAAGUAGGAAGAUUAAAAUGCUAUAAAUUAUGUAUGUGGGGUGGUGGGGUGGGAUAUACAUUUAUUUUGCCCUUUGUUCUGGCCACAAAGCACCCACGGCUAGGCAUGGUUCUGCCCACGGCUUCACAAGAAGCACCUGAAAGGAAGCAUGACCCCUGAGUGCCCCCAAAAGGGGGAUGAUUGUAACAACAUUUAACCCAUCUCUAGGAACUGACUCAACACCUCUGCGUCACUCAAGUUACACUUUGUCCCAGUGAGACAUUAAAGGUUGUGUUUUUCCCUCUUAAGUUGCCCUUUUAGGUGCUUUGCCCUCCUCGAUCCUAUCCUAUCCAGCAGCGAGGAAGUAGGGGAGGGACACUGCUUAUCUUACGUUUAAGGCAUUUUCCUCUCGUUCACCCCCAAAUGCCGAGAAAGUUCCGAACACACCUGGUCAUUGGUCAUUGUCCUCUUUCACUAUUCUUAGUCGUUCCGUCCUAUCACUUUGAGAAGUGUUCUCGCUAGUUAUCCUCAGUGACUCUGUUUCUACCUGGUCUGUAAAUACAGACAAGGACACUUGGAUUUUCAAACCGCCGUACGUCAGUGCCUAAAACAAUGCCUGGUCCCAAAGCAGUGCUCUGGUUAUCCACAGCCAUGUCAAAUCUCUCCAAAAUGUAGUUGUUGUUGAAAACAACAACAAUUAUCUUAUUAUCUCUCACUGGCUCUGUGGGUCAGGAGUCAGGGAGCUUUAAUUCCUGACCUACAGUUUCAAUGGUUCUGCCUCAACGUCUCCCAUGCAGGUGCAGGAAGCCUAACCACCAGGAAUGGACUUUCCGGGCGUCUUUAUCUCUUACAUGGAGAGGUCUCAGGGCCUCUCGGUGUGGUGUCUCUUUAUCUGGCUAGUUGGGCUUCCUCACAACAUGGCUGCCUUGGGACAAGAAGAUGACUCAUGAGAACUGAAAGCUUCAAGACUCAGCAUUCCAACAGAAAGGCAGAAGCUAUGAAGACUUUUCCAGCCGAGGCACCGGAGUCACACAGCACCAUUUCCACUGCAUUCUCUUAUUUACAAGUGAAUCCCAAGCGUAUCCAGAUUCCGGGAGAGGGAAAUAAGACACUACUUCCUGUUGGGAGUGUGGGCACAGUUCUAGAAGAGCAUUGGGUAAUGGCUAUACUUGGAUAGUAUAAUCUACCACAGAGAGUGCUGCCCAAGCAUUGUUUGUGAAACAAGUAAAUAAGUAGUUCUUAAUGA